GGGGAUGUAGCCCAGUGUUACAGUGCUUGCCUGUCAUGCAUGACACCCUGGGUUCAAGCCCUUGUACCACCA
rnacentral:tRNA from 1 species